UUUAGUCUACUGCUAAGCAAUUAACUUCCAAAAAAUUCACAAGACCUUUCUUCUUGCAGUUGUAAGUGAUGUGCUCCAGAAAACGUGCAAAAGAUAGAAGCAAAGCCCAUGCAACAAAAUUGUUCCCCCUUUCUGCUGCUUGUGUCAUUACUCUGGAUUCUGAAGGCAUGUUGACAUCUGCAAGGCAGUAUUUUCCUAACAAACCAUCAUCUGCUAUGGCAUUUAAACAUACAGAUACAAGAUGAAGUGUUGUUCAGUCUCGUCGCAGCUGUGGCCCUAUCAUACCGCCCCUGUAGAAUCGUUUGAGUUGGAACAGGGCCUAAAAGGUCAUCUGGUCCAACUCUCCUGCAGUGAACAGGGGCACCCUACAGCUAAAUCGGGUUUCUUGGAGCCCUGUCCAGCCUGACCUUGAGCGUCUCCAGGGAUGAGUAUUCCCAUCAUUUUUCUGGGCAACCUGUGCCCGUGUCUCACCACUCUUACAGUGAAGAAUUUCUUCCUUAUAUCCAACAUAAGUCUCUCCUCUUUUAGCUUGAAACCAUUUGUUCUCCUAUCUCCUUUGGUGUUGACUCCAGGAGUCAGGCUGCUGGCUUAAGCCAUGUAAUGUAGGCAGUAGGAGCAUCCCUUUGCUGCUCUUGGUGGUCAUUUUUUGUGAGGCUUGCUUAAAGUACUUAUGUUGGUUUAAUUACGGCAUCUGUAGAGGAAUCUUUAGUGUGGACUUGGUGGAUUUCAGAUAUGGAGCACCCUUGAAUAUUUUAAAGAAAAUUAUAGAAUCACAGAAUGAAAUAUAGAAUAGAAAAACAGAAGUAUAUUGGUUUACGUGCUUGUAGAGGUAAAGGGAGAAGAGAACAGUUAGUGUGGUAGUUUAGAUAUGUCUCUCUCACUGGUUGUCUGCAGAGCCCUCGCUAAGGCUGGGCAACCUUUCCAUCCAAGCUGUGCACCUUGCACCUCUAGCAGAACUCAUUAGACGGAGAUGCCAAAGGACCCUAUUAAAAUAAGCAACCACAUUACAGCAAUAGUAUCUCUGCUUUAUAGAGACACUCACCCAGUCACUUCAUGGUCUAUAGAAAAGUAAUUUUUAAGAAAUACUAAUUUGGUAACUGCCGUAAUCUUUCACACUAGUGUACAUAUUCAUGGUCUUUUGCCUAGUGUUUAUUUAAUUGAAACAUAACGCAAUUUAUUAUUUGAUCUUUGCUUCUGAAAAUUUUAGGUGCUACUCUAAAGAAAGUUUUAGCCAGGGAAAGCAGACCAGAUAGUCAAAUUCAACGAACGUGAGCUUUUGGAUGCUGUGUAUUUGUACUAUACUGGUUGAAAAGCUGAGUUCUUAUCAUCCUUCCCAGGAGCAGGUUGUUAUUCUCAGCAGUAGUAUUUGUGCUGUUGUCAGUGAUCAUGUUUGAGCUUUGUCCAUGUGUGGUGGCCCCCCUCCUCCUCUCUGAGACUGCCAUGUACGCUGCCCUAUUCAAAGGUGCUUCUGAGCUGUCUUGGUGCCCAUUUACAGUGCCAGAGAGACCUCUUGGGGAGCUUUUGUUGAAGACCAGAAGACAAAGUGUUGCUUAGUUCAAGGAAAGGUAUCCUGCUCAGAGCUAAUGAAUUUGGUCAUGGCUUAAUUGCAAUCAAAUAGCAUUAAAAAAAAAAAAAAGCAAGAGGCAGCAGAAAAAAAGCUAAAGCAGAGCACCUGGUAUCAAAUGUUUAGCCGAGAAUUAACUAUUGAUUGUGGAGCGCAUGUCAAAAGCCAAAUUUUAUUGUGUGCCCUACAGUGAUUACUGUGUUCAAAAUGAAAUCUGAGAAGCAGGCACUUGUUUACCUCUGUAUGUUUCUGCUGCAUGUGUGACAAGAAAAUAAAACAGUCAUGAAAUAUCA
ensembl:lncRNA